CCCGAGUGUCCUUUUUUUGAGCUUUUUUCGUACUUCAUCCACACCCUAAGGCCGAGGGUUGGUGGUUCUUUAGUCUGAGAAAGGGUCUGUCCUUCAUUACCGAUCUUCUUUCUUCCAUCCAUGUCUGUCCUUCAUUACUGAUCUUCUUUCUUCCAUCCAUGGAUGGAAGAAUUAAUUCUUUUUUGUUUCUUCCUUUUUGAU
rnacentral:lncRNA from 1 species